rnacentral:rRNA from 1 species
AAGGGUAAAAUCCUGUAAUCCCGGAAGGACGACCAGUGGCGAAAGCGUUUAACUAGAACGAAUCUGACGGUAAGGAACGAAGGCUAGGGUAGCAAACCGGAUUAGAUACCCGGGUAGUCCUAGCUGUAAACAUUGCCCAUUUGAUGUUGCUUUCCCGUUGAGGGAAGGCAGUGUCGGAGCGAAGGUGUUAAAUGGGCCGCUUGGGAAGUAUGGUCGCAAGACUGAAACUUAAAGGAAUUGGCGGGGGAGCACCGCAACGGGAGGAAUGUGCGGUUUAAUUGGAUUCAACGCCGGAAAACUCACCGGGAACGACCUGUGCAUGAGAGUCAACUUGACGAGCUUACUCGAUAGCAGGAGAGGUGGUGCAUGGCCGUCGUCAGCUCGUACCGUAGGGCGUUCACUUAAGUGUGAUAACGAGCGGGACCCACAUCUUUAAUUGCAAAUGUAUAUGGGAAUAUGCAUGCACUUUAGAGGAACCGCCAGCGCUAAGCUGGAGGAAGGAGUGGUCGACGGCAGGUCAGUACGCCCCGAAUUUCCCGGGCUACACGCGCAUUACAAAGACGGGACAAUACGUUGCAACAUGAAAGAGGGAGCCAAUCGCGAUACCCGUCCAUAGU